rnacentral:snRNA from 1 species
AUCACUUCUCGGCUUUCUGAGCUAAGAUCAUGUAUAUUAUCUGUUCUUUGCAGUGUAAUUACUGCAACGGUCUCUAAAUUGAGAUCAAUGAAGUUACCUGUAAUUUUCACCUCCGGACAGGUGUUGUGAGCUUGCUCAACCCCGUCCAGGGUCGUCCUCGUAUUGCAUUACCUUGAAGAUUGGUAAGUCAA